rnacentral:rRNA from 1 species
AGCGAACGCUGGCGGCAGGCCUAACACAUGCAAGUCGAACGAACCUUUCGGGGUUAGUGGCGGACGGGUGAGUAACACGUGGGAACGUGCCUUUAGGUUCGGAAUAACUCAGGGAAACUUGUGCUAAUACCGAAUGUGCCCUUCGGGGGAAAGAUUUAUCGCCUUUAGAGCGGCCCGCGUCUGAUUAGCUAGUUGGUUGAGGUAAUGGCUCACCAAGGCAACGAUCAGUAGCUGGUCUGAGAGGAUGAUCAGCCACAUUGGGACUGAGACACGGCCCAAACCCCUACGGGAGGCAGCAGGAGGGAAUGGUACGCAAUGGGCGAAAGGGUGACGGAGCAACGACGCGGGAGUGAGGAAGGUCUGCGGAUCGUAAAACUCUGUUAUUAGGGAAGAAGAGAUGUGUAAGUAACUGUGCACAUAUUGACGGUAGCUAAUCAGAAAGCCACGGCGAACUAAGU